AGGACGAACGCUGGCGGCGUGCUUAACACAUGCAAGUCGAGCGGAAAGGCCACUUCGGUGGUACUCGAGCGGCGAACGGGUGAGUAACACGUGAGUAAUCUGCCCUCCACUUUGGGAUAGCCACCGGAAACGGUGAUUAAUACCGGAUAUGACUUGGGUCCGCAUGGGCUUGGGUGGAAAGUUUUUCGGUGGGGGAUGUGCUCGCGGCCUAUCAGCUUGAUGGUGGGGUAAUGGCCUACCAUGGCUUCGACGGGUU
rnacentral:rRNA from 1 species